rnacentral:rRNA from 1 species
AUUAGCAGCCAUAUCACCCUGCAACUCACAACUGGCAACCCACUGAAGCUAAGCAGGUAUGAGCCUGCUUAGUACCUCGAUGGGAGACCUCCUGGGAAAAACUAAGGUUGCUGGUG